GAAACGUAGUAACGCAAACAUUUAUACAUAUGUAUUAUUUGAUAUUUUUGCAGAAUAAAUGGAACAAAGUGUUGUUAUGGGUACAGGUGGGAUCUUUCACAUAGUACAUGUAUACCAUGUGAUCAUGGAUUCAUUGGGAUAAACUGUGACAUCAAGUGUCGAUAUCCAUUUUAUGGAAAGGACUGUCAGUCUAAGUGUGACUGUGAUGUCCAAAACUGUGAUUAUGUCAACGGUUGUACACAGCCUACAACAAAAUAUAAGGUUCAAUCUACAAUACACACAAACGACAAGACCGCUACAAAAGAGCAAAGUGAGAUCCAUAACGUCAGUAGUGAUAAAGAUAUUUCUAAUGUUUCGACAGACACUACUAAGAAUUUUACUUACCCUGUUUAUGAAACAAAGAAAACAGAACCUAAAAAGAUCAACACUCUCAUGUUUGGUAUAAUAGGACUAAUGACAGUUUCAUUUAUCAUAUACAUGAUGUAUCUUUACACACGACUAUUAGAAAAACGCUUAGUGAAUUCAAUCUCUCAGUUUAGGUGAAAUAAUAAAUAACAAAACUCAUCCAUUUUAUAACCAUAAUCUCUUUUAAGGACAAUAUCUAAAAAAUAAAAGUUGCGUACAGGUGAAUGAAAUUCCAGAUUUGAAUUGUUUCGAUGAUGCUUCAUAAUAAUAGCUUUAAUUAAUUGUAUUAACAUUAUGUUCCAUUCUAGUAACCACAUUUUUCAUUUCUCCAAUAUUCUUUGAAGGCCGGAAAGAGAGAGAAACGAUUCGUCAAAUCAAUAAUGACGUCAUAAUGGUUCUAGCAUCAAAAAGACAUUCUGGAAUUAAAUGUCAGAUCUAGACCCUAAUUUCGAGUUGAAAACCGUUAUUUGUUGUUGACAAGAUUAUUUC